AUUGAACGCUGGCGGCAGGCCUAACACAUGCAAGUCGAGCGAGCGGCGGACGGGUGAGUAAUGCCUGGGAAUUGUCCAGUCGGGGGGGAUAACAGUUGGAAACGACUGCUAAUACCGCAUACGCUUGUGUUGCCCAGGUGGGAUUGGUUAGUUGGUGGGGUAAUGGCUCACCAAGGCGACGCUCCCUAGCUGGUCUGAGAGGAUGAUCAGCCACACUGGAACUGAGACACGGUCCAGACUCCUACGGGAGGCAGCAGUGGGGAAUAUUGCACAAUGGGGGAAAGCCUGAUGCAGCCAUGCCGCGUGUGUGAAGAAGGCCUUCGGGUUGUAAAGCACUUUCAGCGGGGAGGCGUUACUCGCAGAAGAAGCACCGGCUAACUCCGUGCCAGCAGCCGCGGUAAUUC
rnacentral:rRNA from 1 species